UACGGGGGGAGCAAGCGUUGUUCGGAUUUACUGGGCGUAAAGGGCGCGUAGGCGGCCACCGCAAGUCGGUUGUGAAAUCUCCGGGCUUAACUCGGAAAGGUCAACUGAUACUGUGCGACUAGAGUGCAGAAGGGGCAACUGGAAUUCUCGGUGUAGCGGUGAAAUGCGCAGAUAUCAGGAAGAACACCAAUGGCGAAGGCAGCUCUCUGGGACGGUACUGACGCUGAGACGCGAAAGCGUGGGGAGCGAACAGG
rnacentral:rRNA from 1 species